CCAAUCGAAGAAAAUCAUUUUCUUCUUCGUUUCUUCUUUUACGUUUCUCCUCUUGUUCUGCAGACUGUUGGUGAGUAUUGAUUAAGAGAAUGGGUUGAUGAAACAAUAUAGAUGUUACGGAGAUGGUGUUGUUACAAAUCAUGAUGAAGAAUAAUUAGGGAUUGUUAGGGUUUAUAAUUGAGGUGAUAAAACAGAGAGAAAAGCAGACUUAGGGUUAGGGUUUCAGAGAGUUGAUGAUGAAUUCAUCUUAAAACGGAUCAACUAAGGAUGGGUUUGAAGAGGAUGAUCUAGAAAAGAAGAUUAUCAAGUUAAUUCGAGGGUUCGAUUACGAAGAAGAUCUCAAUUUGAGAAAUUAGUGAACUAGGGUUUGAGUUUCUGAUUUGGGGACAUAGAAGAUCCAAAUAGAAGAUUGGGUUGAGGUUAGAUUCAAGUUUGCAGAUGUGCUUGAAGUGUUUUGAUGGAAUUCAGGUAAAGAAGAAGGAAUAGAAGAUGGCUUUUGCAUGGUGUUGGUAAUGGAAGAAGCUGUUGGGUUGAGGAGAUUGUUAUAGGAGAUGGUUUUGAAUUCUUGAUCUGAGCAGAUAUAAUUGGUCUGUAAGGACAAUCAGUUUCCUUAACUAUUCCAAAUUCAGAGAAAUUGAUCAAUUUUAAGGGGAAAAGUGCUACUGCAUUUUUACAAAAUUGGUUUUGUUGUGGGUCAAUGCCAUCAUGCAUACACUUGGAGCACUUGCACUGGCAACCGAUUCUCCAAGUGAGAAACUAAUGAAGAGAACUCCAGUUGUAAGAACAUGCAAUUUUAUCAGUAUUGUGAUAUGGAGGAACAUCAUGGGGCAAUCUCUUUAUCAAGUUUCUGUAGUUACGAACUCCGGGUCGCAGGAAAAGCAUUAUUCAGUCUUCAUAGGCCUGAACCUGAUCUGGUUCGGAGUACUCUGAUACUCGACUCUUUCAUAUUCUGUCAGGUUUUCCUUCUAGAUUGAAUCAGAUGUAUAAUUCUAAUUAAAAGGACCACUAUAAAGUUAGUCUAGUUUAACGACACGUGAUCAUCUUGAUGACGUGUACAAAAUACACGUGUAUGCUACCCAGUCAGUUUGUACACAUGGGUUACCCAGUCAGAACCGAUUUAUUAUCAAGAGUCAGCGAGCUAAACGGCAACUCGGCUAGUGAAACAGUUUGAAGGACUUAGAAGUCUUUUUAUCCUACACUAAUGGUUCCAAAAAAAUAGAUAACCACCGUUAGCCGUUUUUUCAAUAAAACGGUCAAAACCGGCCUACAUUUGUAAUUUUCAGUUUUUUCAAUAAAACGGUCAAAACCGGCCUACAUUUGUAAUUUUCAAAAUAACGGAUCUAUGGUUGUAAGUUGUAACCCUGGAAAAAAAAAUAGGCCUAUAUCUGUUUUUAAUCUUUAAUUUAAUCUCUUUUGGUUGGGGUGCAUCUUCACAUUUUUGCAGCAUCUGCUCUGACACAAGAAAGUUGCUGGAGCAGACAAAUGACUUAUGUAUGAAUCUGCAUGUUACAUGGUUUAAUCGUAAGAUAGAUUGAAGUAUGGCUUCCUGAUACUCUUGUCUUUUAUGUGCAUAGCAAAGUCGAGCAA